rnacentral:misc_RNA from 1 species
GUGCAUUGCUGUCUUUUGUUGUUUGACUAGGAAUGAACAGCGCCUCAUCACAGGUGUCUCCCGUAGAGAGGGGUGCACACUACAUGCGCCGCGAGCGCUUUGAGAUCGAUCAGUACGUGCGCGUCCGCGUGACCGACACGCGCUACUCCAUCGGCGUUGUUACAGAUAUUGACGAGGAUCAAGAUCGGGCAACGGUAGAGACGCGAAAUGGGUAUGAGGUGACCGUGCCAACAUCAGCACUCCGGCGGGCCUUCCUGCUGGUGCUGGACCUGAAUGGGGUCCUCGUCGCCCGCGGUAGAGGCAGCUUCAUCCUGCGCCCGAAUGUAUCUGACUUCCUCAAGUUUGUCUUCUCCAAUUUCGUCGUGGCGGUGUGGACAAGCGGCCUUCAGCGAUCGUCGAACCCCAUCAUCGACCACGUCUUUGGCAACUACCGCGACCUGCUGCUGUUCACGCUCUUUCGCGAUGCGUGCAUGCCGAAGCCGUCGGCGGAAAACCCGUACGGGACGGAGAAGAACUUGCAGGUUAUUUUCGACCGAUAUCCGCAUAGUUUUCAUAGCGUGAAUACGAUCAUCAUCGAUGAUUCCCCAGACAAGUGCUCCCACCCCGACAUUGCACUGUGCCCCAUCCCGUUCAAGGAUCCGGUCGCACAGAUGCAGGACGAGGGGUUGUUGCAAACGAUGGAGGUGUUGAAGGAGGUGCUGCUGCUGGACUCCGGUGUACCGCUGAUUCUCGCUGCUGAGCGGAGACUUGAGCAGCUGGCCAAGCAGCAGCAGCAGCAGCAGGAUCACCCUGUUGGAGAGGAGAGGGCGCAGGAACAGAGGCCGUCAAAGGUCUCGACGCCAACAGCGGCAGCGUCUGCGUCGGCGACUGCGCCAGCAGGGCCUGUGGCGGGGGCGUCAGUCUUUGGCAGCCACGAAGCCCCUUCGGAUAUGGAAGAGGUGGAACUAUGGAAGACGCGCCUGUGUUGCGACCAACUUCAAGGGAAGUGUCUGCGUGGUGACCAGUGCCCCUUCAGCCAUGAUGCCGAUGAUGGCCGGCCCUGCUCUCGCAAGAGUGGCUGCCGGCAGCACGGCAGUCGGUGGCCAAAGACGCGUGAAGAGGUGCAGCUGGAGGAGCAGCGCAGAGAGGCGCGCAAAGCAAUGCGUCAGCGCUACGAGAAGACGCAACAGCAGCGCGAAGCCCACCUCCGUCAGCCGCAAAAGCCACCUCGGCAGAGCAACCGCGCGAGCAACCGUCGCCGCGGCGGCGCUGACGACGGCGCGGAGUGGGCGACGGAGACGACCGGGUUUAGUCACACCGGCGACCCGAUGUACGACAACAUGAUCGACCAGCAACGGCGACAUAGCGCACCGUCUGCCAAAGCGACGGCAGCGACGCUGCCGAUGGGCGCGUUCGGUGCAACCUUGCGGAAUGCGCGCGGCGGCUCAUCCGCGACGAAUGCCGCUGCUCGGCCGCAAGCGCAACCCCAGAGCAGCCAAGUGAGUAGCUCCGUGUCGCUCUUUUUCCAAACAGCGGCGUCAAGCAGUGCGGCAGCGCCGCCUUUAGUGCCCUUCAGUACGCGGCCUAUUGCGCCAGUAUUAUCUGUCGCGGACAUGAACACGCAGCCUCGACAGCAGCAGCAACAACCAAGAUUCACUGACUCGGCACGCGAUAAUGCGUCCUCGCGAAGAGCCGACAACGGCAAUAACCAUCAACACCAACGCGGGGGAGGCGCUCGACAUCAACAGCAGCGACGGCAGGCGGCACAACCAUCGCAGCAGCCCAUCCACAUAACCGGGGAACAGGGCGACUCUACGGCCGUGGUGAAUCAACUGCAGGCGCUCAUGGGGCAGCGCUAAGGAGGUGAGGGGAAGAGCAACAAGAAACACUCAAGGUGAGGUGAGCGCGAUAAGCAGUUCUCGUCAGACAGGCGCAGCUGUACUGCGGUCAAUUCAGGAUUGCGAGAGAAGGAAGGGUGGUGAAGCAUGCCGUAUAGCCGACACGGGUGGCAGGAGAGCCAACGGGAACAGAGGAGUCGGCAGUGUGGUCGCGAAAGGGCAGAAGGGGGGUGGACUGCAGCGCAAUCAAGAAAGCGGCCGCACGAGUGGGAAGCAGAAAGCAGUAGCGGCAGGAGAAAAAGGGACGGAGGGAGGGAAUAAAAGCCGUCUUGGCUCUCCUGUGUCUUUGGCCUUUUCCAUUCUUCAUUUAUGUGUGUGUGUGUGUGUGUGUGUGUGUGUGUGUGUGUGUGUGUGUGUGUGUGUGUGUGUGUGCCGAGCAUACCAUGGAUGCGUCGAUACUGCGUGCGUCUCCCUUAUUUCGGCUAGCGGCUUGCUAGUCUUUCUGCGUGUGCAGCUCCUUUGGUAUCGGCACCUUCCUCUCUUGUCUCCCCUCUCGCUGCAUCACUACGCCCUUCACCCCUCUCGGAUUCCCUUCACCUUGCUUCAUGUCUCAUGAGCUGCGGCGCUGAGUGUGUGUGUCUCUCUCUCUGCUCCUUCUUUUUGUCUUUUUGCCUGCCUCCUUCCUACCCACCCUAACGCUCCGGGUGUUAUCGCCUGGUUCAGCUGCUCGUGUGCGCCAAUCGUAUUUUUUUUUUCUUUCUCCUUGCUUCAUCUUGAACGCGUGCGAGCGCAGCUGAAGCGAGAGAUGGAAGUGGAGCCUAUUAUGGUGUGGUCUCGUGGAUUUGUGUGCGCAACGGCCGACUGCGGCUGCUUUUUGGGCAUCCUGUACUCUCUUGUAUCGACGCUUUUCUGCCAUCUCUCACUCUACCCAGGCACCUCCGACACGUGGCAACACUCCAGCAGGCCAUAACGGCAGUUGUUCUGUUUCUCCCGCUGGGGGUGGGGUGGGGGAAGGGGGCUCCCCUUAGAGAGCCAAAAGAGAAGCACAUGCGGUUCGUGCGCACGUUUGUGUAGCAUAUCAUUUCUUCUGCCCAUCUCACCUCUCCCCCCUCCCCCGGCCUUUUCUCUAUGUGCGUUUGCGUGUGUGUGUGUGUGUCUCUCGUAACUUAGUUGAUUCUUUCUCUUCAUAUAUAACACGGCACCAACGUCGUAUUUUCUGUUUCCUCGCUUUAUCUCAAAAUUCACCGCCCCAGCCCUCUUGUGUGUUGCCUUACGUUCGCACUUUCGCACGCAUCAGUGUCCGUCAGCAUGCGCUAAGAGGCAAUGAACCUUCCCCCUCCCCCUUCCGUCCCCUAACUCACCCUCUCUUCCCGCUUUGUUGUACCGACGCGUGAAGGGUGCUCAAGCUGUGCACCAGCUCCCUCUCUCUCGCUCUUGAGUGCGCGCUCACGCUACGGCUACUGCGUGUGCUUCCGCAUCUACAUGAGUGUCUAAAGCUGCACAUGUGUUUGUGUGUGUGGGUGUGCGGGUGUGCUGGGUUUGCGUGGACAGUGCGUGUGCGUGUGCGUGUGCGUGUGCGUGUGCGUGUGCGUGUGCGUAGGUGCAUGCACUGUGCCAGCCUUACACCUCCCCCCCCCCCCUCUCUUCGUUUUCCUUUGUCCUUCUUUUCGUUAUUUUGCCUUUUUUGGUUUGUUUUUCCCCUUCCUGCGCUCAGCCUUCGUGUUCUUCUUACCCCCACCCCCUAAAGGAACAGAAGUACGAGAGGAUAAAUCCCCGUUCACCCAACCCCACCCCACCCGCCAACUGUGCGCGCACAGAUGAAGCAGAAAAGGCCCGCACACACACACACACAUAUCCGCACCCCUCCCGCACAUCCCCCACUCACCCACCCCCAACCCAGUCGACCACGCGCAGAAUGUGCAGUAUGUUUGGAUGAAGCUCUACGUUGUUCUUGGCGGUGUUCAUGCCUCCUUCUUCAUGUUUCCCGUCGGAGUACAGCCGCUUCCGCUCCUUUACAGGGUGAAGUAUAUCGCUACGCGCCGCGUUGUCGUCAUUCUGCGUGGAAGUCGGAGAGGAGGGCGCGCGCGCGCCAGUGAAGCUGUGCCUGUCUGUGUCUGUCCUAUGUGUGUGUGUGUGUUUGUAUGUAUGUGUUGGAGGAACUCCAUCAAGCCAGCCGUAAGACGACAUAUAUUGAUAUAAAGGAAAGUGUAGUUUUCAAUAGACAGACACGAAGGACAUACAAAACAAGCGCGAACGCGUGCAUCGCAACAUGCGUGAGCGCGUCAAAGAC